rnacentral:rRNA from 1 species
AUUGAACGCUGGCGGCAUGCUUUACACAUGCAAGUCGAACGGCAGCGCGGGCUUCGGCCUGGCGGCGAGUGGCGAACGGGUGAGUAAUACAUCGGAACGUGCCCAGUCGUGGGGGAUAGCUCGGCGAAAGCCGGAUUAAUACCGCAUACGACCUGAGGGUGAAAGCGGGGGAUCUUCGGACCUCGCGCUAUUGUAGCGGCCGAUGGCAGAUUAGCUAGUUGGUGGGGUAAAGGCCUACCAAGGCGACGAUCUGUAGCUGGUCUGAGAGGACGACCAGCCACACUGGGACUGAGACACGGCCCAGACUCCUACGGGAGGCAGCAGUGGGGAAUUUUGGGCAAUGGGCGAAAGCCUGAUCCAGCAAUGCCGCGUGUGUGAUGAAGGCCUUCGGGUUGUAAAGCACUUUUGGCGGGAACGAAAAGGACUGUGCCAAUACCACGGUUCGAUGACGGUACCCGCAGAAUAAGCACCGGCUAACUACGUG